UUUUAAUAGCAUACUUACAGGAACAGCACAGCAGACAGACAACAUUAAAAACGUACUUGCAUGUAGGACAACUCAGUUAGAAAAACAUAGUGAAUGGAUGGAAUCUACUGUGUGAUAAAAAUGCUACAAACACCAUUUAGUUGCUGUCAAUAAGAAAUUUACUUGUUUUUAAAAAAAUGCUAAUGCUGGCAUUGUCUAGAAAAAUUUAACAGGUUUAUUUAUAAUUAUUAUAAAGUUGAACUGCUGAAACCUGUUCACUGAAACAUUUUAACUUGCAUUAAUGCUUUACAUCUCCACAUUUAUAUUAAAAAUUUACACACAAAUGAAAAUUGAAAAAAUGCCAUUACCUGAUUUCUAUCCCCUAUUUUUCCACUUGCAAUCAUACACUUAGGUAUCUUUUGACCCCAUGGAAAAAAAUAUCUAACCUUCAUAACCACCAAUAACAGGAAGAAGAGAAUUUUUUUCUUUUUCUUUUUUUUUUUCUUUUUUUCUGAGAUGGAGUCUCACCUAUCGCCCAGGCUGGAGUGCAGUGGCACGAUCUCGGCUCACUGCAAGCUCCACCUCCUGGGUUCACACCAUUCUCCCGCCU
rnacentral:lncRNA from 1 species